CUCUUCGUCUCCUUAUCCCCUCCUCCUUGCGCCCUCUCUCUCUCCUCUCCCUCUUUGAUCCUCUCCCUCUCCCCGCCGCCCCACUGCCUUCAUUCUCCUCUCGCCCACCGCCCCGCCACCCUCUCUCCUGUCGCCCGCUGCCUUCAUUACCAAGAAGUUGUGGGUGGAUCAGUUUGAGACCGUGUGUUCUUGUGAGGGGGAGGAUUUAAGUGAGGGGAUUUCUGAGUGGAAUGCCAGAGUGUAAUCUUGGCCUGAAUGAUAGAGUGCUUUUGGAGGCUCAAGAUCGGACCGCAAAGGGGAGAGCCAUAGAUCUGGAUGACAUCAAAUUCCACCAGAGUAUAUGUUGAGGGUAGAAUUAAGCCUCCCCAGCCUAACUUCUGAAGAAGCUACAUCAGAGAAGAAGGCUCCUGUCCGUGUAAAGUUUGAGAUACCAUAUUUUACUGUAUCUAGAAUUCAGGUUUGGUACCUGAAGAUUAUUGAGAAGAGUGGAUAUCAAGCUCUCCCAUGGGUGAGAUACAUAACAAUGGCAGGCGAGUAUGAACUGAGAGUUAUGUGAAGCCUGAAGAUUAUUGAGAAGAGUGGAUAUCAAGCUCUCCCAUGGGUGAGAUACAUAACAAUGGCAGGCGAGUAUGAACUGAGAGUUAUGUGAAGCAUUUUCCGUGUGGAGAUGUUUGUUUAUAUAAAAAGCCAACACCAGCUUACAUUUGCAUAAGAGCUUUUGAACGUGCCUCUGAACUUGGUACGAACACCAGCUAUUAUUAUUUCCAUCGAGGGCAGAAGUUUCACUUUUUCUGCUACCAGUUAAUGCUAUCCGACAUAUGUAAUAGCGAACAAGCAGCGAAGAACAUACAAGCAUACAUUUUUUGGGUGGUUAAUGCCCUUGUUUUGUUUUUUUUUCCUCCCUUGUAUCAUGAGUGGGUUGUAUUUUUGUAACUCCUAGUUUAUUCACAUGAGACUUGAUUAUAACUUGCGUUUGUGAUCAUUCUAGCAUUUUCACAGUAAUACUGCAUAAUGUACAAGAAUCA